rnacentral:tRNA from 1 species
UGCGGGAUCGUCUAAUGGUAGGACAUGUGCCUCUGGAGCACAGUAUCUUGGUUCGAAUCCAAGUCCCGCAACCA